rnacentral:rRNA from 1 species
AUUGAACGCUGGCGGCAGGCCUAACACAUGCAAGUCGAGCGAGCGGCGGACGGGUGAGUAAUGUAUGGGGACUGCCCGAUAGAGGGGGAUAACUACUGGAAACGGUGGCUAAUACCGCAUACUAUCGGAUAACCCAUAUGGGAUUAGCUAGUGGGUGGGGUAAAGGCUCACCUAGGCGACGAUCUCUAGCUGGUCUGAGAGGAUGAUCGGCCACAUUGGGACUGAGAAACGGCCCAAACUCCUCCGGAGGCAGCAGUGGGGAAUCUUCGGCAAUGGACGAAAGCCUGACGGAGCAACGCCGCGUGUGUGAAGAAGGUCUUCGGUUCGUAAAGCACUUUUAUCAGAGAAGCGGUACCUGAUCAGAAAGCCACGGCUAACUACGUGCCAGCAGCCGCGGUAAUAC